UUAAGAAAGGUUUCAAAACAAAAAAGUGCUAUCAUAAAUGCAGAAUUAUUUUCUUUGGAUGAGUUAAUUCAAGCUCCGAGCAUAACAUAUCCAAUAUCAAAUGCUAGUUUUCAACAACAAGUUCUUGCAUUUCAAGAAAAAUUUGUUAAGUGGAUGAGAGAUAAAUCAAAUUGUUUAUCUUUACCGACGACUUCAAUUGCUCAACAAACUUCAGUUAUUUGAUUUUGAGUGUGUUUAAUCAAAAGAGGAGUUUUUUCUGUAUGAAGAAAUUAUGAACGCGGAUUCAUUCGUCGAUUCAUUCGAAGAAGAAAAAAAAGAUUAUUUAAUAUAUCAGAGUUAUUUAAUAUGUUGGUACACACACAUGUAUGCGUGUUAGGGCUCUAAAAUACUGCUAGUUAAAUACAAAUUUUACUUCUUAGAUUGUACAACUAAAGCAAAUAGGAGGGCUUGACUAUAAAAAUACAAUAAAUGAACAUGAAUGGUACCGGAGGCCAAAAUAAAUUAGCUUUUGGAGGAACCGAGACCUACAAAACAGUUUACAUAGUAGUCAUGCUCAAGUUCCCAAAGAUGACGGAAAAAGAAUUUCAUCAAGUGGUUUAGAGCCUCCUUCGAAAUGCCGCUGCUUGAAUAAAAAAGAAAGCAGUCGUAUAAAAAAUGACAAUAUAAUUGUAUAUUUUA